UACCAGCACCCCGAGUGGUCGGGGCGUUUAUUGGGCCUAAAGCAUCCGUAGCCGGUUUUACAAGUCCUCCGUUAAAUCCAGCUGCUUAACAGAUGGGCUGCGGAGGAUACUAUAAGACUAGGAGGCAGGAGAGGCAAGCGGUACUCAGUGGGUAGGGGUAAAAUCCGUUGAUCCAUUGAAGACCACCAGUGGCGAAGGCGGCUUGCCAGAAUGCGCUCGACGGUGAGGGAUGAAAGCUGGGGGAGCAAACCGG
rnacentral:rRNA from 1 species